AUUGAACGCUGGCGGCAUGCUCUACACAUGCAAGUCGAACGGCACGGGGUAGUGCUUGCACUACUGCCGGCGAGUGCGAACGGGUGAGUAAUAUAUCGACGUACCGAGUAAUGGGGGAUACCAAUCGAAAGAUUGGCUAAUACCGCAUACGUCCUAAGGGAGAAAGCGGGGGAUCGCAAGACCUCGCGUUAUUCGAGCGGCCGAUAACUGAUUAGCUAGUUGGUGGGGUAAAGGCCUACCAAGGCGACGAUCAGUAGCGGGUCUGAGAGGACGAUCCGCCACACUGGGACUGAGACACGGCCCAGACUCCUACGGGAGGCAGCAGUGGGGAAUUUUGGACAAUGGGGGCAACCCUGAUCCAGCCAUGCCGCGUGUAUGAAGAAGGCCUUCGGGUUGUAAAGUACUUUUGUUAGGGAGGAAAAGGGAAGUGCUAAUACCACUUUUUGCUGACGGUACCUAAAGAAUAAGCACCGGCUA
rnacentral:rRNA from 1 species